AAAACACUAAGCAUGCACGCUGUUUAAGAGAAGAAAAAGCGCAGUCACCCAUUGGGCCACAUGAAAGACCCUCUGCUGUUUUAGGGGCACGUUUUCCAAUGUGCCUUGAGCCGGAGAGAGUGGUGGGUCCUUAUACAAAGAGACAAAAGGAAAGCUAUGAAUGCUGCUAUCUCCCAGAUUUAGAGCCACAGAAGAAAACCUCAUUUAUUUUGGUGGAUGUACAUCAUCAUCUGUUGCCUUCUCUGAGGAAGUUUCUCCUGGGAAUUUAAGUUUGAAAGAGAAACUGUAUCUGUUGGAGAAUGAGUUCCAGGAGGCUGAUGACCCGCUCCUACUCUGCGGGGGACGGGAGGUCCAGCUCCCACAAUGGAGAUGAUGUCAUAGCGAGUAGCAGAGCCAGCAGCCGCAGCUACCUCUCUGAUGUCAGGCCUGAAAACAGGUACACAACCCCUCAGCUCAACACAGGAAAUAUUACUGUACCUCAACAAGCAACAAGAAAGUUAGAAUAUGUUUAUUACCAGAUCCCUCUCCUUUUGAAGUGAAGUUUAACCAUUGAUUCGGCAUCAUUGCAUUAUGAGGUCGUAAUAAUAAAACAAUAAUCAUUGAAUUUAUAAUGCCUUUUUAAAUUAAAAUGAUUGGAUGGCUUGAUUGAAAUGAUUUCUCAGUGUGUUAGUUAGUUAUAGAUAGUUGUGUUAGUUAUAUUUACAUAACAUUUACAUUUGAGUCAUUUAGCAGACACACUCAUCCAGAGCCAGUUAUCAUGCAUUCAUCUUAAGGUAACUGGAUGAGUCAACCACAUAGUGGUUAGUUAGUUGGAGAUAGUAGUAUUAGUUAUAUUUACAUAACAUUUACAUUUGAGUCAUUUAGCAGACACACUCAUCCAGAGCCAGUUAUCAUGCAUUCAUCUUAAGGCAACUGGAUGAGUCAACCACAUAUCAAAGGCAUUGUUGGUUUCCAUGGUGUCGUUUACUGCAUUUAGGACUGUUUGAAUGGCCAGCUGAUAGGCAACACUCACUACCGGCUCAUAAAAAGCUAUGACCAUGAAGGUCAGCUCUCAGCUCUUUAUAAAUAAACUGCAUCUCACUGCAUGAGCCUGUGUAAAGGCAAACCGUCUUCCAAAAUGCAUCCUACAAAUAGAGGAAAAGUUCAUGAAAAUCCAAUCUUCCUACUACUGGGUAUGUCUACUUAUGGCCAAGUGUGUGCUGCAAAACUAUCAAGUCAAGUGAAAACAUGUAUUCUUCAUUAUAAUUAAAUAAAAUAUUAAUGGUACAGAUA